rnacentral:rRNA from 1 species
GAUGAACGCUGGCGGCGUGCCUAACACAUGCAAGUCGAACGAAGCACCUUACCUGAUUCUUCGGAUGCAAGUUUGGUGACUGAGUGGCGGACGGGUGAGUAACGCGUGGGUAACCUGCCCUGUACAGGGGGAUAACAGCUGUAAACGGCUGCUAAUACCGCAUAAGCGCACGAGGAGACAUCUCCUUGUGUGAAAAACUCCGGUGGUACAGGAUGGGCCCGCGUCUGCUUAGCUGGUUGGCAGGGUAACGGCCUACCAAGGCAACGAACAGUACCCGGUCUGAGAGGAUGAACGGCCACAUUGGAACUGAGACACGGUCCAAACUCCUACGGGAGGCAGCAGUGGGGAAUAGUGCACAAUGGGGGAAACCCUGAUGCAGCAACGCCGCGUGAGUGAAGAAGUAUUUCGGUAUGUAAAGCUCUAGCAGCAGGGAAGAUAAUGACGGUACCUGACUAAGAAGCCCCGGCUAAAUACGUG